CUCCUACGGGAGGCAGCAGUGGGGAAUAUUGCACAAUGGGCGCAAGCCUGAUGCAGCGACGCCGCGUGAGGGAUGACGGCCUUCGGGUUGUAAACCUCUUUCAGUAGGGAAGAAGCGAAAGUGACGGUACCUGCAGAAGAAGCACCGGCUAACUACGUGCCAGCAGCCGCGGUAAUACGUAGGGUGCGAGCGUUAUCCGGAAUUAUUGGGCGUAAAGAGCUCGUAGGCGGUUUGUCGCGUCUGUCGUGAAAGUCCGGGGCUUAACCCCGGAUCUGCGGUGGGUACGGGCAGACUAGAGUGCAGUAGGGGAGACUGGAAUUCCUGGUGUAGCGGUGGAAUGCGCAGAUAUCAGGAGGAACACCGAUGGCGAAGGCAGGUCUCUGGGCUGUAACUGACGCUGAGGAGCGAAAGCAUGGGGAGCGAACAGGAUUAGAUACCCUGGUAGUCCAUGCCGUAAACGUUGGGCACUAGGUGUGGGGACCAUUCCACGGUUUCCGCGCCGCAGCUAACGCAUUAAGUGCCCCGCCUGGGGAGUACGGCCGCAAGGCUAAAACUCAAAGGAAUUGACGGGGGCCCGCACAAGCGGCGGAGCAUGCGGAUUAAUUCGAUGCAACGCGAAGAACCUUACCAAGGCUUGACAUGUUCUCGAUCGCCGUAGAGAUACGGUUUCCCCUUUGGGGCGGGUUCACAGGUGGUGCAUGGUUGUCGUCAGCUCGUGUCGUGAGAUGUUGGGUUAAGUCCCGCAACGAGCGCAACCCUCGUUCCAUGUUGCCAGCACGUCGUGGUGGGGACUCAUGGGAGACUGCCGGGGUCAACUCGGAGGAAGGUGAGGACGACGUCAAAUCAUCAUGCCCCUUAUGUCUUGGGCUUCACGCAUGCUACAAUGGCCGGUACAAUGGGUUGCGAUACUGUGAGGUGGAGCUAAUCCCAAAAAGCCGGUCUCAGUUCGGAUUGGGGUCUGCAACUCGACCCCAUGAAGUCGGAGUCGCUAGUAAUCGCAGAUCAGCAACGCUGCGGUGAAUACGUUCCCGGGCCUUGUACACACCGCCC
rnacentral:rRNA from 1 species